UGGCGGACGGGUGAGUAAUGCUUGGGAAUCUGGCUUAUGGAGGGGGAUAACUACGGGAAACUGUAGCUAAUACCGCGUAAAAUCUUCGGAUUAAAGGGUGGGACUUUCGAGCCACCUGCCAUAAGAUGAGCCCAAGUGGGAUUAGGUAGUUGGUUAGGUAAAGGCUGACCAAGCCGACGAUCUCUAGCUGGUCUGAGAGGAUGACCAGCCACACUGGGACUGAGACACGGCCCAG
rnacentral:rRNA from 1 species